UAAUCAAAUUCAAAUUCAUUUAAUUGCUUCCUGAUUCAAAGUCAAAAAGAAUAUCAAAACAAUUAACACUAUUUAAUUCUAAUUCUCUUAUAAAUUGGAAUUAAAAUUCAUCAUAAAAAGGAGGAGAAAAACAAGAAAUAAAAGAGAACAAGAAGUUGGAGUCGGAAGCCUUAUCACAACCUCGUUACGAUUUUGGCCGGAGACCCACACGAUCGUUCCAUCUUGCAAUAUUGUACCUCGACGCCAAUCGAACCCACGAAAAUGUAAUAGAUCUGGCUACCGCAUCACUUGACAUCGCUCCAAGCUCGCCAUGAUUGUUCCGCAGAUACCUAUCGAUAAUUUCUUUUCUUUUCCUGAUUC
rnacentral:lncRNA from 1 species